rnacentral:misc_RNA from 1 species
AUCAUCAAUAGUAGAAUUAGAAUUGAACUCAGAAAUAUAAGUGGGAUCAUUAGGAAUUAAAGAAGACACACCACAUUCUUUAAAAACUAAUUCUAGAAAUGUUGGCUGGUUAGGUGUAUCAAGCUCAAUGGUUGUAUAUGUCUUAUUUUAACGUUUGUAGAGUCUCAAAUCUGAUCUAUUCAAUCUCCCAGGAGUUUGAGGAGGUGGUUGCUCCUGGUUAGAUGGCUCAUUACUAGGGUGUGACCCAAGCCUAAUGGCCUCCCCUUGAGGUGGUUGGUCCUGGUCAGAUGGCUCAUUACUAAGAUGUGACCUAAUAGUCUCUCUCAGAAGCCUGAUAGCCUAGUUAGGAAAAAGCACCUAUUUCUCCUUAUGCUUCUCUUGAAGAGGUGACUUGACAGGAAAAUAAGGUUCAGACUCUCUAAAUGUAAUAUUCAUACUGACAAAAUAUUUCAUAGUAAGAGGAUGAUAACACUUGUAGCCCU